rnacentral:lncRNA from 1 species
GUUCAGGAUUUUUCCAGCUGUCCAUUUUGCUUUUCCAAUUUUUCUAUAAGUUAUUACUGUUGUGCUAAGUCAUAGCAUUUCUGCUGCUUUUCAGUAGUUGUGCUAAAUACAGCAUUUCUGCUAAAUCAUACUAUUUCUGCUAUUUCAUAAGAUUUGUACUAAAUAUAGUGUUUCUGCCAAAUAUAGUAUUUCUGCUUAAUUAUAGUAUUUCUGCCAUUUUAUAGUAUUUGUGCUAAAACAUAGUAUUUCUACUAAAUGUAGUAUUUAUGCUUAAUCAUACUAUUUGUAUAUAUUUCUGCCAGGUCCCCAGGCAGCUAAUCCUCUGUGAGGACUGAUACAUAUAAAAUUUACAUAUCAGGGCCUGCACGGCUUCCCAGCCAGCCAAUCAUAUCUGAGGUCUGCCCUUUCUUCUCUCGUCAUAUCUCAGCGACAGAUGUACAAAGAGCAAUGCAAAUCACAGCCAAAGUACACGAAAGUACGCUGAUUCACCCAGUACAAGUAUUAUGCUUCUAGUCCACCUAGUUUUUGAGUUACACGACGUUUUGUAACUCCAAAAAACAGCGUUUUUCGCCUCUCACCGCAAUCUAAUUCUGACUGCUCAUCACCCUGUUUUCCAGGCGCUCGCUCUCUUUUAUUUGUGCUAAACCAGGUGGCGCAGUUGGUAAUGACACAGGUCUGCAACCAAAGGUCGUGGGUUCAAUUACACCUUGGCAACAUGUGUUUUUUCCCUACAAAUUAAUACACUAUCACAGACCACUAAUUCAUAUUCAUCAUUUAUUACAAUUCUGCAAACUUUUAUGAUUUUAGCAGCUUUUCUAAUAUGGACCUCAGAUUCUUCUUAACACUCCAUGGCACAAUGACUGCUCAUCACCCUGUUUUCCAGGCGCUCGCUCUCUUUCACAGUGGCGCAGUUGGUAAUGACACAGGUCUGCAACCCAAGGUCGUGGGUUCAAUUACACCUUGGGCAACAUGUGUUUUUUCCCUACAAAUUAAUACACUAUCACAGACCACUAAUUCAUAUUCAUCAUUUAUUACAAUUCUGCAACCUUUUAUGAUUUUUAGCAGCUUUUGUAAUAUGGACCUCAGAUUCUGUUAACACUCCAUGGCACAAUACUCUUCCCUUUAGGCUCUGUGUGUGUGUGUGUGUGUGUGUGUGUGUGUGUGUGUGUGAGAGAGAGAGAGAGAGAGAGCGAGAGAGAGCCUUUUGAUGGGACCAUCUUAUUAUAUCACUUAAAUUCAAUAUAUUUAGACUGGUUGACUGAAUUUGGUCCUGUGUGUGUCUCUCUGUGCAUGUGUGUUUCCAUAUGUGCC